AACGAACGCUGGCGGCGUGGAUAAGACAUGCAAGUCGAGCGCUGGCUACGGGGUAGCAAUAUUCCGUAGUUGGAGCGGCGCAAGGGUGCGUAACACGUGGGUAAUCUGCCGUGAAGUCUGGGAUAACCCCGAGAAAUCGGGGCUAAUACCGGAUGUGAAAAUUGGAAGGCAUCUUUUGAUUUUCAAAGUUGGGGACCGUAAGGCCUGACGCUUCAUGAUGAGCCCGCGGCCUAUCAGCUAGUUGGUGAGGUAACGGCUCACCAAGGCUAAGACGGGUAGCUGGUCUGAGAGGACGACCAGCCACACUGGAACUGAGACACGGUCCAGACACCUACGGGAGGCUG
rnacentral:rRNA from 1 species